rnacentral:rRNA from 1 species
AGUGAACGCUGGCGGUAGGCCUAACACAUGCAAGUCGAACGGCAGCACAGUAAGAGCUUGCUCUUACGGGUGGCGAGUGGCGGACGGGUGAGGAAUACAUCGGAAUCUACUUUUUCGUGGGGGAUAACGUAGGGAAACUUACGCUAAUACCGCAUACGACCUACGGGUGAAAGCAGGGGAUCUUCGGACCUUGCGCGAUUGAAUGGGCCGAUGUCGGAUUAGCUAGUUGGCGGGGUAAAGGCCCACCAAGGCGACGAUCCGUAGCUGGUCUGAGAGGAUGAUCAGCCACACUGGAACUGAGACACGGUCCAGACUCCUACGGGAGGCAGCAGUGGGGAAUAUUGGACAAUGGGCGCAAGCCUGAUCCAGCCAUACCGCGUGGGUGAAGAAGGCCUUCGGGUUGUAAAGCCCUUUUGUCGGGAAAGAAAAGCAGCAGGUUAAUACCCCGCUGUUCUGACGGUACCCAAAGAAUAAGCACCGGCUAACUUCGUG